ACUUGUAGUACGAAGGGAGUUAUAUAUAUGAUUGUUUGCGAGUGCAACUUAGCAUAUAUUGGUCAGACUCAACGGUCAGUAAAAUCACGAAUCAUUGAACACAAAAGCAGAAUUAGGAAUCUGUUGAGGGAAUCAAUACUUUACAAACAUUUUCAUGAUCACCAACACAGUCCAGAUUCAUUUAAAUUCCACAUAUUAGAAGUGGUGACACAAACUUCUGACAUGGAUUACAAUAUUAAACUCUUACAAAGAGAAUCAUACUGGGUGUUUAAGUUACAAACUGAGCACCCCCGAGGUCUUAAUGAACAUAAUUCAUAUAAUUACUUCAUGUGAAUCUGUACUUUGUAUUUCUUACCACACUAUAAAUUCCAACCAAACUGGGAGAACCACCAGUGCCAUCUAGUGUUGAGUAACACAUAUAUGAAUAUACUCAGUAACCCCAUAUUGCUUUAAAUGAAUAAUGGCUACCUGAAAUCAUCCCACCUGAGGACAAAACUUCCCAUUAUAUUGUGAGGUUACCAAAUAACAGUUUAUACUCGCUAUAAGAAUCAACCAAGAGCCAGCAGAGUAUCAACACUGUGAGUAUAUAAAUAAGAUACUAUCUUAAUUGAAACUUAAAAACCUUAAAUUAUGUUAUAGCCACUGUUUGUUCCUUUUAUUUAGACCCACUCUAGAAAAAAAGAGAAGAAGACAUAAAAACACAACUAGAAAGAGGAGCAUAAAGGGUAUACAUAUGAAUGUACUAUUAUUAAUUCACUUGAAGAAGACCUAGUCGAAACCGGUCAUGAUCUACUGUGACCUACUUGCUCUUCAGCACAAUGAACUGAUUGAAUAAGUGAACAAUUAUAUAUAGAACAUAUAUUGUUGAGGGAUCUACUGUGACCUACUUGCUCUUCCGCACAAUGAACUGAUUGAAUAAAUGAACAAUUAUAUACAGAACAUAUAUUGUUGAGCUACAGUCAUUUUUGAUGUAUGGAUUAUGUUUAUUACAAUUGUGAAUUCUGAA